UGCUUCUUCUCACUAGAUAAUGCUGCUUAUCUGCAAGCCAGUGUCACACACACAGCACCUCACUCCAGCACCUCAGUCUGUAUCCAGUGCUUAGUAAAGCACCAGGCACAGCCUGCACAGCCCUUCUGUGUCACAGCGACGUGGUGUAACGCCCACGGACCCCAUCACACAACUAGCACCCAAGUUUUCUUCAGCCAUGAAGAGCCACAACAGCUACUGGCCACGACACCUGCAAAGCAGAAGACAGAGAGGGGUCCAGCCCUUGUCACCUGCACUAGGAAAGGAGAAGACCACCAGUGUAGACCUGCUGUGGAGGUGGUGCAGCAAGCCAUAUGGGUUAUUUCCAGCAAAGAUGAGGAGCAUCACAAAGGCCUGCUUCAACAGGAUACCUGCACAAAACCCAGUUCCAGUAUUCCUACACUGAGAAAGAGAAGACAUUUUUUAAAUAAACCAUUGCACUGGGAUAUGACAGGUUUGGGUGACUUGGGAAAUCAGUGUGGCUAUCAUUAG
rnacentral:lncRNA from 1 species